CCCCCCCCCGAAAANCACUACCUCACCUUAACUGUUAACCUAACACUAGAGCAUCCAAGAAAGAUAAAAGGGNAAGAAGGAAUUCCGCAAAUAUUAGUUCCGCCUGUUACCAAAAACAUCGCCUCUUGUGAAUCAAUAAGAGGUCUAGCCUGCCCAGUGACUCUGUUCAACGGCCGCGGUAUCCUAACCGUGCAAAGGUAGCGUAAUCACUNNCCCUAAAUAGAGACUAGUAUGAAAGGCAUCACGAGAACUAAACUGUCUCCUCNCCCUAAUCAGUGAACCUAAUAACCCCGUGAAGAAGCGGGGAUCUCAAUAUAAGACGAGAAGACCCUAUGGAGCUUAAAACACUACAUCACCUGCCACCCACUUAUCUACCUUGGCACACUGAUUAUAUGUUUUUGGUUGGGGUGACCGCGGAGAAAAACCCAUCCCCCGCGAUAAAGGAAUCCUCCACAAACAGUAAGUCACAACUUUAUGUAUCAGAAAACUGACAUUAUUGACCCAAUAUAUUUGA
rnacentral:rRNA from 1 species